rnacentral:lncRNA from 1 species
UUUACAGAGAUCAGUGAUCAGAUAAAAAUAUUGAAAAUAUGUGGUCAUAAUAUUAAAUGAUCACAUAAAAAAAUUGAAGAAGGUCUCUAAAAUAUACAAUUUACAGAUCAGUGAUCGCAUAAAAAAUUGAAGAUAUGUGGUCAUAAUAUUAAAUCAUCACAUAAAAAACUAUAGAUAAAGCGUAUAAUGUAGCCGACCAUUUGACAGAUGUAGAUUAAUAUUAACAAUCGAGUUAAUAUAAAUAACAUGCAGAGACUGAAACUCAUAAAUAAUAAAGUUACAAAUCGAAGGGCAUAGAGCACAUGCAUGAAAAGUUCACAUAUUUGUUAAGUUAACAAAUGAUUGAAAUGAGCAAAUAGAAUAACACAGGUUAGAUAAAGCUCAUAUAAAAAAUUUCUAAAGUAUACAUUUUACUUAUUAGUGAUCACAUGCAAAAGAUUGAAGAUUUAUGGUCAUAAUGGGAAAUGAUCAAAAAAAUAAGAGACAAAAAGAAAAUAAAUUUAUAAACCAAAAUAUUAAAUGGUCAAAAAACGAUGUCAUGAGUGAUUCACAAAGAUCUCUAAAAUAGACACUUUACAGAUUAGUGAUCACAUAAAACAAUUGAAAAUUCAUGGUCAUAAUAUUAAAUGAUCAAAAAAUAAGAUACAAUAGUAAAAAUAUUUAAAAGAGACAUAUCUUUAGAAAAUGAAAUCAUGAGUGAUUCAACUUACUGUAUAGGAAUCAUUGAAGCAUAAGUGAAUUUCAAAGACCUAACUUUAACACAGAAAUGGAAAAAGUGGAAACCCAUGAAAGACGAAGGUAAUGCAAUAAUCUCUAAAAUGAAACACAGAAAAAUGUUAUCUUUUAUAGAAAUGGAACAGGUAUUGUGAAACCAUUAGAGACAAAGUUAAUGCAGCGAACAAAAAACUUCGAAUCCUCAAAAAAUGUCAUAUUCUUUAAAAAAAUGUAGACGAAAUGGAUGAAAGACAAAGAAAAAGGAAGAUCAUUAUGGUUAGAUCAAAAUGGUAACCAUUGUUGGUAAAAAUAAAGUUAAUUAUUUAAAAUAUUGAGAGAAAAUAAAGUGAAGCCAUAAACCAAAUCAAGGGUUUCAUAGUGAGAACAUAAUGAAAACCAUUGUAGGAUACGUUGGUAAGUAUUAUUGAACAACAUCAUUACCUUAAAGUGAAAUGAAGAUAAUGUGAGAAGAAG